AAUUUCACCGCCUUUCUCUUCCUCUUUGUUUCGAUUGAGCCAAAAUGAGAAGACAGGCUCCUUGACAAGACCCUGUUUGACCAUGUUGUACCAUACUGGAACAGCAUUUCCAACAGAAAUCUCACGGAAUCCAAGACCCAAUAUACCAUCAAACUUGGCUACCAAAAAUGUCACACUGGGUUCCCUGGUUGCCUCAAUGAACUCCUGAUUUUUCACAACAAGGUCACCAACUUUGACGUUAUCUUGACUGAAGAAUCCAGAUAUUGCUCCAGUGCCAUAAUGAAUUGCAGCAGAUGUCCCAUUUUUCUUAUAAGUACUUGAUUGGCUGGACUUAUACUUGGAAUGGAAAAGGCAGGGGACUGAGAAGUAACACUUUGCUGAAGGCACCCACAAAUUAGAGCUACCAGUAUCAAAGAUCACAGUGAACUUCUGAGGGGGAGUGCCUACACCAAUCUCUCCAAAGUACUGAGCAUCCAUAUAGUUCUUUAGUGCUACAAUAUCUGUAUCCUCAGAUACCCCAAGAUCACCACGGAAGUUGUACUUCCUAAUAGAGGCCCGCAAAGCCUCCGCCUCCUUGGAUUCUAAGCGAGCAGCAAGCCGGUUGUUUUGAUCAUAUUUGAUCUUUUUCAAACCAAUUCUAACCAAGCCAUCAUUUGAUGUAGAGAAGGCCAGAGGAAAUAACAGCGUUGAGAGAAAAAAGGCAACAAGAAAGGCUUUUACUCCCAUAUUGACCAGUUUGAUGAAUCAAGAAAAAGAGAAAAAG
rnacentral:misc_RNA from 1 species